UACGAAGGGGGCUAGCGUUGCUCGGAAUCACUGGGCGUAAAGCGCACGUAGGCGGAUUGUUAAGUCAGGGGUGAAAUCCUGGAGCUCAACUCCAGAACUGCCUUUGAUACUGAGGAUCUCGAGUUCGGGAGAGGUGAGUGGAACUGCGAGUGUAGAGGUGAAAUUCGUAGAUAUUCGCAAGAACACCAGUGGCGAAGGCGGCUCACUGGCCCGAUACUGACGCUGAGGCACGAAAGCGUGGGGAGCAAACAGG
rnacentral:rRNA from 1 species